AUACUGUGAUGAGGGCAUUUUUUGAGCAGGUCUUUGAAUCUUUCCCAAGCAUCAUAACAAAGAUUCUCCCUCAUUCUGAUAGAAGUUAUUGAUUUCCCCCUUCAACUU